rnacentral:rRNA from 1 species
UACGGAGGAUGCAAGCGUUGCUCGGAAUCACUGGGCGUAAAGGGUGCGUAGGCGGGUCUUUAAGUCAGGGGUGAAAUCCUGGAGCUCAACUCCAGAACUGCCUUUGAUACUGAGGAUCUUGAGUUCGGGAGAGGUGAGUGGAACUGCGAGUGUAGAGGUGAAAUUCGUAGAUAUUCGCAAGAACACCAGUGGCGAAGGCGGCUCACUGGCCCGAUACUGACGCUGAGGCACGAAAGCGUGGGGAGCAAACAGG